GGUAGGGUAGUUUAACAAAAACAUAAGAUUGUCAAUCUUAAGAGGCCUCAUUAUGGUUCCUACUU
rnacentral:tRNA from 1 species